GAUGAACGCUGGCGGCGUGCCUAAUACAUGCAAGUCGAACGCUUCACUUCGGUGAAGAGUGGCGAACGGGUGAGUAAUACAUAAGUAACCUGGCAUCUACAGGGGGAUAACUGAUGGAAACGUCAGCUAAGACCGCAUAGGUGUAGAGAUCGCAUGAACUCUAUAUGAAAAGUGCUACGGGACUGGUAGAUGAUGGACUUAUGGCGCAUUAGCUUGUUGGUAGGGUAACGGCCUACCAAGGCGACGAUGCGUAGCCGACCUGAGAGGGUGACCGGCCACAAUGGGACUGAGACACGGCCCAGACUCCUACGGGAGGCAGCAGUAGGGAAUUUUCGGCAAUGGGGGAAACCCUGACCGAGCAACGCCGCGUGAAGGAAGAAGUAAUUCGUUAUGUAAACUUCUGUCAUAGAGGAAGAACGGUGGAUAUAGGGAAUGAUAUCCAAGUGACGGUACUCUAUAAGAAAGCCACGGCUAACUACGU
rnacentral:rRNA from 1 species